GGGUUAUUGUGUUGCUGCUGCUACUUAGACGGACCUCAUAGUCCCUGUUCAUGAGACCUAAAAUGACAAAUCUUGUCACUGAACGACUGGAUGAAGAAUGUGCCUUGUACUCCUCUGCAUGUGUGACCUGAUGUAAGCUGUGCUUGCAUACCUGAAGAUGUCAUGUAGCCAAAAUCACUGUUGAUCUGUGCAUGCUAUGACCAACUUUUGAUUCUUUGAUAUGGAAAGGAAGUUCAUUAUUUUGGGGUGCUAUUUCAGAAAUUUGCUGCAAUUACAAGACCGGAUUGCUUGGGAACGGCUUAUUAUACAGAGGACUACUUUAUAUCUUUUUAUGCGGUUAGGUCUGCUGUUUAUUUUGUUGAUUCUGUUGAUUUACCAUGUGUUGAGUGAAGAUAUGAUUUUACUGCUGAUUUGAAUUUAUUCAAAUCAGCAGAAUUUAUUCAGGCUUUGUGAUGUAAUUUAAAAUGCUAUUUUAUUUUUGAGUAUAGGGGGUCCGUUUUAAGUAAAUGUGCAAUUAUCAAAGGGAAAUGUGCAAUAUCAAUAUAGGGAAAUGUGCAAUAUCAAUAUCUGGGGAGAAAGAGGGACUGUGCAAUAUAAUUGAGAAUUGUGAAAUUAUAUUCACUGGUGUAUGAGUGCAACACAACUAGGAAAUGUGCAAUACAAUACUAUUGCCGUUAGAGGCUAUGAGCAAUAUGAAUGGUUUAGGUGUGUUUCUCUGGGGGCCCCGUCAGUGCUGGGCCUUUAGAAUCAUCCUAACCCCACCCCAUCCCCCAGCGGUGGCCCUGGGGUGCAGAGCUGUGUGCAGAAUUUAAAUAGGAAUACAUUUCAUGUAUAUUCAAAGUUAAUUUUCUCACGAAUAUCUCCUGUUUAUCAUAGCAACUAGCCACUUCAUAUCAUUAUAAAGCUUAGUUUGCGCAGUUUCACAUGGUAUAAGUGUGAUAUCUGUAUGACAAGUACUUAAUGAGCAAUUAUACAGAGAAGAAUUGGUGUGAAUUUGGAUGCAGUUGGUUUAACUGACACCAUAGGAUUCCAUGCAAUAUGCAAUACAUUAUGCAAAAUAUGACAUUAAUAUUGCAGCAAAAAAAAUUGUGUUGCACAAUGCUUGUACAAGAUAUUUCCAGAAAUGUGCAUUGACUUUACCUAUAUAAACCCCUGUUCUGGUGCCACUGGCUUUCUCCAUGGGAAUCCCAGCAUUCUCCAGGGCUCUGAAGGAACACUGCAGCAGCAACUUGUGCUGAGGAUCCAUCUGGUCAGCCUCAGCAUCCGUGAUGCCAAAGAACUUGUUGUCAAAUUCAUUAAACCUGGGUUUGUUCUCAUCUGGAUCAUACCACUGAGAACAAUCAAAUCUCUCAUCUGGAAUCUCUACUGCACAAUUCCUCCCUUCCACUAGAACC